AUACGGAGGAUCCGAGCGUUAUCCGGAUUUAUUGGGUUUAAAGGGUGCUCAGGCGGGGGAUUAAGUCGGCGGUGAAAUUUUGCGGCUCAACCGUAAAAGUGCCUUCGAAACUGGUUUCCUUGAGUGUGGCUGAGGUAGGCGGAAUUUGUGGGGUAGCGGUGAAAUGCAUAGAUAUCACGAGGAACUCCGAUUGCGCAGGCAGCUUACUAAGCCAUAACUGACGCUCAAGCACGAAGGCGUGGGGAUCAAACAGGAUUAGAUACCCUGGUAGUCCACGCAGUAAACGAUGAUUACUGGCUGUUUGCGAUAUAAUGUAAGCGGCUGAGCGAAAGCGUUAAGUAAUCCACCUGGGGAGUACGUUCGCAAGAAUGAAACUCAAAUGAAUUGACGGGG
rnacentral:rRNA from 1 species